CUGAUGCAAGAGGAUUGAGAGUUUGAGUCCAGCCUGGGCAAAUAGGCCAAGCAAACAGGCCACUCUCAGCAAACAACAGGUUAUUUUCAGGUCCUUUGUACUCCUACAUAACUUUUUAAUUUCAAUAUCCAACUCUUCAUUUAUGGUCUAAAUGCAACAGAACCAACUUACCACGGACUGAAACUUCCAGAACGGUCAUUAGAGCGCGCUGAAUCCAACACGACACAGACACUCCACGAGAGGACCACGUGAGAACACAGGGAGAAGACAGCCAUCUACCAGAGACUCAGGAAAAAACAACCCCUGACACCUUCAUCUUACUUUAACAUUCUGACGUUUGAGAAAAUAAAUUUCUAUUAUUUAAGC
rnacentral:lncRNA from 1 species